rnacentral:rRNA from 1 species
AAUCAACGCUGGCGGCGUGCCUAACACAUGCAAGUCGAACGCGAAAGCCUUUCGGGGGUAAGUAGAGUGGCGUCCGGGUGAGUAACACGUGGGUAAUCUGCCUUCGGGUGGGGAAUAACCCAGGGAAACUUGGGCUAAUACCGCAUAAUGCAGCGGCACCUAAUGGUGAUUAGUUGUUAAAGCGGGGGAUCGCAAGACCUCGCGCCUGAAGAGGAGCCUGCGGCAGAUUAGCAGUUGGUGAGGUAAUGGCUCACCAAGGCUUCGAUCUGUAGCUGGUCUGA